UACGAGCGGCGGACGGGUGGAGGUAACACGUGGACAAUCUGCCCCCCGGCCCCGGGACUAGCCCAGGGAAACCUGGAUUAAUACCGGAUGAGACGGGACCCGCGAAGGCGGGACCCGGGAAGGCGCUGCGGCGCCGCCGGGGGAUGAGUCUGCGUCCCAUUAGCUAGACGGCGGGGUAACGGCCCACCGUGGCGACGAUGGGUAGCCGGCCUGAGAGGGUGGACGGCCACAUUGGAACUGAGACACGGUCCAGACUCCUACGGGAGGCAGCAGCUAAGAAUCUUCCGCAAUGGGCGAAAGCCUGACGGAGCGACGCCCGCGUGAACGAAGAAGGCCGUGAGGUUGUAAAGUUCUUUUCGGGAGGGGGAACAACCGUGGCAGGGAAUGGCCGCGGGAUGACGUGAAUCCCGGAAUAAGCCCCGGCUAACUACGUGCCAGCCGCAGC
rnacentral:rRNA from 1 species